rnacentral:rRNA from 1 species
GAUGAACGCUGGCGGCGUGCCUAAUACAUGCAAGUCGAGCGAACAGACGAGGAGCUUGCUCCUCUGACGUUAGCGGCGGACGGGUGAGUAACACGUGGAUAACCUACCUAUAAGACUGGGAUAACUUCGGGAAACCGGAGCUAAUACCGUAUAAUAUAUUGAACCUCAUGGUUCAAUAGUGAAAGACGGUUUUGCUGUCACUUAUAGAUGGAUCCGCGCCGCAUUAGCUAGUUGGUAAGGUAACGGCUUACCAAGGCAACGAUGCGUAGCCGACCUGAGAGGGUGAUCGGCAACACUGGAACUGAGACACGGUCCAGACUCCUACGGGAGGCAGCAGUAGGGAAUCUUCCGCAAUGGGCGAAAGCCUGACGGAGCAACGCCGCGUGAGUGAUGAAGGUCUUCGGAUCGUAAAACUCUGUUAUUAGGGAAGAACAAAUGUGUAAGUAACUAUGCACGUCUUGACGGUACCUAAUCAGAAAGCCACGGCUAACUACGUG